UCUCACGAGUAAUUCAUCAAAAUGAUCACCUACAGGAAACACGUUUUAGCACGUCACUCACCUGCAUGCGAUGCUCUGAUGAGGUGGAUAUUUUUCUUGACUUCGUUGAUGGCUUCCGUCUUCUCCAGCUCUUUGCCCUUCUUCAGUCUUUAAACAAAAGAGUUAAGAAUUGUUUCAAAACAAAGAUGUGUACGCAGUGCGUCCUGACAUUUCUGUCCACUAUGAAAUAAAGCACCAAGUAUUCUAUUGUCCAA